AGUAGAGCAACUUGGUAGCUUGCAAGGCUCAUAACCUUGAGGUUGGAGGUUCAAAUCCUGUCU
rfam:Glycine soja cultivar W05 scaffold1242_31, whole genome shotgun sequence.